rnacentral:rRNA from 1 species
GACGAACGCUGGCGGCGUGCUUAACACAUGCAAGUCGAACGCUGAAGCUCAGCUUUUGUUGGGUGGAUGAGUGGCGAACGGGUGAGUAACACGUGAGUAACCUGCCCCCUUCUUUGGGAUAACGCCCGGAAACGGGUGCUAAUACUGGAUAUUCACUGGUCUUCGCAUGGGGGUUGGUGGAAAGGGUUUUUCUGGUGGGGGAUGGGCUCGCGGCCUAUCAGCUUGUUGGUGGGGUGAUGGCCUACCAAGGCUUUGACGGGUAGCCGGCCUGAGAGGGUGACCGGUCACAUUGGGACGGAGAUGAGGCCCAGGCUCCUACGGGGGGGAGCAGUGGGGAAUAUUGCACAAUGGGCGCAAGACUGAUGCAGCGACGCCGCGUGAGGGAUGGAGGCCUUCGGGUUGCGAACCUCUUUCGCUAAUGGUCAAGCCGCAACAAUGGUUGUGGUGAGGGUAGUGGGUAAAGAAGCGCCGGCUAACUACGUG